rnacentral:rRNA from 1 species
ACACGACUACAUUAGAUACCCGCGUAGUCCUAGCCGUAAACGAUACUCGCUAGGUGUCGGCCACGGUGCGACCGUUGUCGGUGCCGUAGGGAAGCCGUGAAGCGAGCCACCUGGGAAGUACGGCCGCAAGGCUGAAACUUAAAGGAAUAGGCGGGGGAGCACAACAACGGGUGGAGCUUGCGGUUUAAUUGGAUUCAACGCCGGAAAUCUUACCGGGACCGACAGCAACAUGAAGGCCAAGCUGAAGACUUUGCCGGAUUAGCUG